CGACUACAGCCACUACUUUGGGACCAUCGAGGACCUGCGGGACAAGAUUCCUGGUGCCACCGUUGAGAACUCCAAGGUAGUCCUGCAGAUCGACAAUGCUCAUUUGGCUGCAG
rnacentral:pre_miRNA from 1 species